GAUUUGCCUGCAGUUAUCUGCUCUGUGGUAGGUAUGAAGCAAAGGGUCAAUUCUAAUCUUUUAAUAUGAACCACAUUCAUGUGUUCACUUCAG
rnacentral:sRNA from 1 species